GCCAGGAAGCCACGAGGAAGAAGAGGGAUCACCCACUUUUGGGAGCACAUUUCCAGGUGUAUAAGGAUCUCCCACUUGUCCUUACAUCCUCAACAUUGCAAUGAAGCACCGCCCUAGGGAACGUUUUGAACAUGAAUCUUUGAAGGAUACUCUCUAUACUCAAACCAGAACAAAAAUCUAUGUAGAAGACAAAAUGUCAUAGAAGCACACACAAGGAGUCUGGGAGAAGCAGGAUGAAAUAAAAGCUCCAAGGCAAAGCCAGAUGCUGAAAUAAUGUCAGAACCCCGAACUCCCAAGACAGUAGAAAUGGAAUCAGUACGAUGAAGGAAGCAAGAAUCUUCACUGAGCCGAAAGAAGAUAAAGAAUGAAAAGAGAAAUAGGAUUUUCUUUUUAAAAGGAAGAACAAAUAGAAAAUAAGCCUUUGUAGUAGGUAAGCUGUCAGAGCUGUCCAGGCAACAAAAUAAAUGCCAGGUAGAGUUUUUCAAAAUCCCAAUCGACAGCCAAGAACUGUGGAACCUGAGAGGGAAGUACGACUUUGCUGUUUGUAAUCGCCACUCAGCAAAUACCUACUCAGAUGUGAGGAGCACAGAGGAGGGUCUCACUCCAGGAUGCUCCACUGGCGGAGAAGACGUGUUGCUGAGCUUGGGGAACUGCCUCCCGGGAACCUGGAAGCACAAGGGCCAUUCCAGCAUCUCACAGGGCCUCCUGCACCAGUGCAGUUGGAAGGACCGAGACUCUGGGAGUCU
rnacentral:lncRNA from 1 species